AUUUAAUCAAUUGGACCGACAUACUUCAUUAUCUGAUUCAAUGCCUGCUCUUGGAAUAUGACUCCAUUUUGAUAAGACAUUUUUAUGAGAGGUCAUAACAGGGGUUGAGGUCGGCAGUGAGACGAUAGGAGAUAAAUUUUAUCGUCGAGAGAGAAAUAGCUUAGAUCACCACUUAAGGCCUUUAAAUGACCGUUUAGGAAUAAAAGAAGUAGAGGUGUAAAGAUAGCUAAGAGGUUUAUCGAGAAAUAGCCACUCUAGAAAGAGUGUGUAAUUACUCACUGAUCGAGUGUUUUUGUACCGAAGAUGAACAAGACUAAACGAUAUGCUGAAGCUGUGGGAUGUAAAAAUAUAUCGAUA
rnacentral:ncRNA from 1 species